AGCGGAGAUUGAAACUGAGAUCGU
rnacentral:siRNA from 1 species